rnacentral:rRNA from 1 species
GAUGAACGCUGGCGGCGUGCCUAACACAUGCAAGUCGAGCGGAGCGGCGGACGGGUGAGUAAUGCCCAGGAAUCUGCCUGGUAGUGGGGGAUAACGUCCGUAAACGGGCGCUAAUACCGCAUACUAUCAGAUGAGCCUAGGUCGGAUUAGCUAGUUGGUGGGGUAAAGGCCUACCAAGGCGACGAUCCGUAACUGGUCUGAGAGGAUGAUCAGUCACACUGGAACUGAGACACGGUCCAGACUCCUACGGGAGGCAGCAGUGGGGAAUAUUGUACAAUGGGCGAAAGCCUGAUGCAGCCAUGCCGCGUGUAUGAAGAAGGUCUUCGGAUUGUAAAGCACUUUAAGCUGGGAGGCGUUACCAACAGAAUAAGCACCGGCUAACUCCGUGCCAGCAGCCGCGGUAAUAC